AGCUUUAAGUUAUUAAUUUAAGGUUAAACCUGCCCACUGUAUUAAUAUAAAUGGCCGCGGUACUUUGACCGUGCUAAGGUAGCGCAAUCAAUUGGCUUUUAAUUGGAGUCAGGAAUGAAUGGAAUAACGUGAUUAAUCUGUCUCUAAAUUAAUUAUUUGAAAUUACUUUAUAGGUGAAAAAGCCUUUAGUAAAGAAAAAAGACGAGAAGACCCUAAGAAUUUCUCUUAAUAUAAAAUAUUUUUAUAACAGUUUCGUUGGGGCAACAUAGGAGCAUAAGUUAAUUAAAUAAUCUCCUAAAUUACACUAACCGAUUAUUUUAAAUUUGAAUAAAUUACCUUAGGGAUAACAGCAUUAUGUAAAAAAUAAGUUUGUGACCUCGAUGUUGGACUGGGACACUAAAAGGCUAGCCGUUUUUUAGGAAAGCUCUGUUCGAGCUAUAAUUCCC
rnacentral:rRNA from 1 species